UCAGGGGAGGAUGGAGAAUCGGGAGACCCAGGACCCGUUGGUGUAUCAGGAGGCAGCGGGGAUAUAGGUGACCAGGGGGAGAAGGGGGACUCAGGUCUCUCUGGAGCAGCAGGGCCCCCAGGAGCCAGAGGUCCCCCAGGAGAGGAUGGGUCCAAGGGAAACUCUGGUCCGAUUGGUUUCCCAGGAGACUCAGGACAGCCAGGGGAGGCAGGACCCAACGUGA